GGCGCACGGGUGAGUAACGCGUAGAUAACCUGUCUUCAUGUCUGGAAUAAUACGCCGAAAGGGGUACUAAUACCGGAUAUUCUUGCUUUUCAUAAGUUAUGCAAGCAAAGGUGGCCUCUGCAUAUGCUACUGCAUGAAGAGGGGUCUGCGUACCAUUAGCUAGUAGGUGGGGUAAUGGCCUACCUAGGCGACGAUGGUUAGCGGGUCUGAGAGGAUGAUCCGCCACACUGGCACUGGAACACGGGCCAGACUCCUACGGGAGGCAGCAGUGAGGAAUAUUGCGCAAUGGGGGAAACCCUGACGCAGCGACGCCGCGUGAGUGAGGAAGGCCUUCGGGUCGUAAAGCUCUGUCAAGAGGAAAGAAGUGUACAAUGGCUAAUACCUGUUGUAUUUGACGGUACCUCUAAAGGAAGCACCGGCUAACUCCGUGCCAGCAGCCGCGGUAAUACGGAGGGUGCAAGCGUUGUUCGGAAUCACUGGGCGUAAAGGGCGCGUAGGCGGCUUGGUAAGUCAGAUGUGAAAGCCCACGGCUUAACUGUGGAAGUGCAUUUGAAACUGUCAGGCUUGAGUACCAGAGGGGAAAGUGGAAUUCCCGGUGUAGAGGUGAAAUUCGUAGAUAUCGGGAGGAAUACCGGUGGCGAAGGCGACUUUCUGGCUGGAUACUGACGCUGAGGCGCGAAAGCGUGGGGAGCAAACAGGAUUAGAUACCCUGGUAGUCCACGCUGUAAACGAUGUGAACUAGAUGCAGGGGUGUUGAUCCCUUCUGUGUCGCAGCUAACGCAUUAAGUUCACCGCCUGGGAGUACGGUCGCAAGAUUAAAACUCAAAGGAAUUGA
rnacentral:rRNA from 1 species